UUUGUCCAAUGAUGUAGCUGCGCGCCACGCGAGAGCCAAUCAGGUAAUCGCUUAUUCUGACCAAUGAGAGAGCAGCCGAAUUUCCGUUGAGCCCCCGUCGCGUCCAGAGCGGGGAUUCGGUGCGCCGCGACAUGGCGAGGAUCGAGAUGUGCUUGGAUUGCGCCUGCUUGAACGGGCGUUUCAAUUUGUUUGUUGUCUGCUUGUGCUGGAUACACGCUUGGUUGGCUCCGA